ACCAAGUCAUCAAGAUCAACCAACAAACCAGCAACAAAAAUCACAACACAAGGAACAUACCGAUGAUCAAGCACGAAAUCACCUAAAACACUUAAGAGGAGUCUCGGAGCAACAUCGACAACAAUAGGAGCAGCCAAACAAAGAACUGGUUACUCAACCAUCGAGCUACAUUUCAUCAAACAACUUCAAAGCACCUCAACAAAACUAUUAAUGACCAAGCACAAAACCAAUCCAAGUGCUUAGUAGGAGCAUCAAAGCAAUGGCAACUAUAAUGGGAGCAACCAAGCAAAAGCCAACCAUCAACCUUUUAGCCACAUUUCAUCAAACACAUGCAAGAACAUUUGAUCCAAACUAGAUUACCAGCUAGAAUGCUAUGAAGAAGCCAAGCGAACCUAGUGUCACCCUUUACAGAACUCACAUCAUGACACAUCCAGAGUCAAAAGCCCUCCUCAACAAUUGUAAUCCCUUUCCAGCUCUUGAAAAUCCCACAAUGCAUACAUCACAAAGGCAGUAACACAAGCCUUUUCAUAAAGAUACCAGAGCAAAACUGGAAGACAAACAAAGUUUUGCCAACAUUUCCCC
rnacentral:lncRNA from 1 species